rnacentral:rRNA from 1 species
GAGCGAGACCUUCGGGUCUAGCGGCGGACGGGUGAGUAACGCGUGGGAACGUGCCCUUCUCUACGGAAUAGCCCCGGGAAACUGGGAGUAAUACCGUAUACGCCCUUUGGGGGAAAGAUUUAUCGGAGAAGGAUCGGCCCGCGUUGGAUUAGGUAGUUGGUGAGGUAACGGCUCACCAAGCCGACGAUCCAUAGCUGGUUUGAGAGGAUGAUCAGCCACACUGGGACUGAGACACGGCCCAGACUCCUACGGGAGGCAGCAGUGGGGAAUCUUAGACAAUGGGGGCAACCCUGAUCUAGCCAUGCCGCGUGAGUGAUGAAGGCCUUAGGGUUGUAAAGCUCUUUCAGCUGGGAAGAUAAUGACGGUACCAGCAGAAGAAGCCCCGGCUAACUCCGUGCCAGCAGCCGCGGUAAUACGGAGGGGGCUAGCGUUGUUCGGAAUUACUGGGCGUAAAGCGCACGUAGGCGGACUGGAAAGUCAGAGGUGAAAUCCCAGGGCUCAACCUUGGAACUGCCUUUGAAACUAUCAGUCUGGAGUUCGAGAGAGGUGAGUG